rnacentral:misc_RNA from 1 species
AACGCACCUUGCGCCCUUUGGCUAUUCUGAAGGGCAUGCCUGUUUGAGUAUCAUGAACACCUCAACUCGUCGUGGUGUGCCACGAUGAGCUUGGACUCUGGGGGUCUUGCUGGCCUACGGUCGGCUCCUCUCAAAUGAAUCAGCUUGCCAGUGUUUGGUGGCAUCGCAGGUGUGAUAACUAUCUACGCUUGUGGUUUUCCACCAGGUAACUUUCAGCAAUGGAGGUUCGCUGGAGCUCACAAAUGUCUCUCCUUGGUGAGGACAGCUUCUGAAUGUUUGAUCUCAAAUCAGGUAGGACUACCCGCUGAACUUAA